rnacentral:tRNA from 1 species
GAGGUAUCACACCAAAGUGCAAAUUUGGAGGGACACCUUAAAGGGUGUCGGGGCUUCU